UACUAUACUCUGGAGUAUGGUGACAAAAUCCUUUCAAAUGCAAUUUUCCGUACUGUUUCUUUAAGGCUGUAGAUGAGUAAGUUAGACUAGUAAUUUGGGGGCUGAUUCUGUUUCCCCCAAAGUCAUAUGAUUUAUUUUUCCACUGGCUUUGAAGGAAGCAAGAGUGGCUCUCUAGUCCCUUUCUAUAGCUAGUUACCUGACUUGUGGCAAAUGGCUGCAUAAGUAGACAGUGUGCAAGUUACAACAGAAGAAUCAUCAGAAGAGCAGCAGGACACCUCUCAAUGUGUUGGAGUGUUUGCUUCCUGACUCAUCUGCUUGCGACAAGUAGAAGAAAAAAGUGUGGAUAAGGGAGGCAGAAUAGCUUAGACGACAGAGCACUGGAAUGACACUUAGGAGAGCUGGACUCCAUUCCCAGUUCUGCCACUGGCUUGUUGGUGACCUUGGGAACUCUUCCAGAUAUUGGGUUAUCUUCCUGAUGCCACUGUUGGGUCCUGAUCAGAGGACAAACAGAAGUCAGUUUCUGAAUGAAAAGACAGGAGGGAAAUGAAUGGGAGUAGACUACAGUAAUAAAGG